GCGUGCGGGAAGAAGGCCUUCGGGUUGUAAACCGCUUUUGUCGGGGAAGAAAUCUUUUGGGCUAACACCUCGAAAGGAUGACGGUACCCGAAGAAUAAGCACCGGCUAACUACGUGCCAGCAGCCGCGGUAAUACGUAGGGUGCAAGCGUUAAUCGGAAUUACUGGGCGUAAAGCGUGCGCAGGCGGUUGUGCAAGCCAGAUGUGAAAUCCCCGGGCUCAACCUGGGAAUGGCAUUUGUGACUGCACGGCUCGAGUGCGGCAGAGGGGGAUGGAAUUCCGCGUGUAGCAGUGAAAUGCGU
rnacentral:rRNA from 1 species